rnacentral:lncRNA from 1 species
AUUAGUGCAAUCUACAAAAGACUAGGGAAAGGGUGGCAGGGCAAGGGGAGCCACAGCACUCCUUUGGUUUGAUUUCAGGUGGGUCAACUUGUCCCAGCACCAGUUGCUACUGCAGGGCAAAGGAGGAAAGCCAGAGAAAAGGCCUCAAGUCUAGGAAGAGGAAGUCAAUGCUCUGGAAGCCAGACUCUGGCUCUCUAUGCCUCAAAGGAACAAGCUCAGAGCUGUGCUGGGAUCUAGGAAAGCCUGGUCCCAGGCUGAAGGGGAAGCGGCGGGUCACAGUGGGUGAGGUAAAGCUGGCCCCCACUCCCCCUUUGAGGGCAAGGGGGAGGCUACAGAAGGGCCUGUUGGGUCUGGUUCCUGAAAGACCUUGCCCCUCCUUCCCGCCCCCACCCUCCUAGGG